rnacentral:lncRNA from 1 species
CCCCAGCAAGCCUGAGGUCACAGAGCCUGCCCUGAUCCUGCACACGGCUCCUGCACAGAUGCCGCCCACGGGGGCCCGCCCAGUCCUUUUCUUUGUCAGUCACUCGCCUCCCCCAAAAGGAAGGGAAGCACAUCCCAUCAGGAGAGCUGCUCUUAGAGCAUCUCAGAGUCUUUUCUGUCCUUUCUCUUUCCAGACCCCAGAUGCCCAUCCCUCCUUUGUUGUUAUUGUUGUUGUGUUCCCUGACUUAGUUUCCUAAGGGAAAGAAACAGAUGGGCUUUUCCAGAAAAGCCACCACGUGCCUUCUCCACCCCCCUUCUCCUCCCCUUGCCCUUCGGAGCCUCAGCACUGCUGUUGCCAUGACAACCAUGUGGGGCCGACUUGCGGCUUCCUGCAGGCCAAGUGUGGCUGUGAUGUUGACAUUUUGCUGGUGUUUGAGAAGUGAACAGAAUGUAGCUGCUGGCUUCAGCACCCCCGAUUGCAAUUGCACAGGGCACUUGGACUGGGGGAAUGAUCUGGGCCCCGUGGGAUUCCUGCAGUUGGGUGGUGGUGAGUUCCCAGCCAGCUCUGGCAUCACUAGCCGGCUGUCACAGUACUCUUGCCCUGAGUAGGAAGUCGAAUGAAAGUUAUUACAAAGAUAACUGCCAAUCACUGGGCCUGCAGACCCAGGCCCCCACAGGAAAGUGGGUAGUCCACACCCAAGUGGGGCACAGAGAGAGGGAGAGGGGCAGAAAGUGUCCACAGGCUUCCAACAAGAUAAUUGAAGACAACCCCACACAGCCACAUGGAUGGCGGAGAGACCACUGGCCAGAGUUCUCAAGACUUCUCUUUCAUCGAGCACUUGCAGGAACCAGAGAGCCCAUGGAGGGUGCCGAACAAAAAUGA